ACAUCAUAUACAAUAAGAGAUGACAAAGUAAAAGUUUGGAUCAUGUCCAUGACAUUUCAUCAAAAGUGACAUCAGAAAAGUUUAACUUCAAAUCAAAUUGACAUCAAUAUUGUUAUUUAAGAUAGUUAUUCAAUACAUAAUUCUGCAUGACAUUUUAGAUCAAUCCCCACAUUUCAUCUUAAUUAUCUUAUAAAGUUAAAGAUCUUGAAGUGAAAUGUCAUGGAAUAUACGAGGCUAGAGAAAAAGAGAGAGUUGUGCCAAAUUCCUGGAGUGUUCUCAUACCCUCUUUUACCCUGUCCAGCAUUGCUGGCUAUGGAUCCGUAUUGGGAUUCACCUUGUUUUUUGUCAACGAAUAUCAUGAUAUCUUUCAGCUGGGCUCUAGUUAUUGUAGCUAAGUAGACAAUCAUUUGUGUUCAUGUACUUUGGGUGUCGUUUAGACAAAUGCAAUUGUAGAAAUUAGGAUGAAAUGUAUAACAUUCCUGCCAGGUACUAGUAUGUCAAUGCUUUAGUGUUGGGAUAGCUUAUUUUGAUUCCAUGCUUGAAACCUAUUCCCUUUCUUGUUUUUCCACCUGUCUACUGUCUGGUAUGAUUUUACCUGUUUAUUAAAUACAUUCCUUUGUUACCCUCUCUAGGAAACAUAAUUUGGGUCACAUUUAUAUUUUUACCAAACGAUGGUCAUUUAUGUAUACCACCUCAUUGGGAGAUUGUCAACAUUAAUACACUAAUACUGCAAUCAUAAGCUGAAUCUCGCCCUGCUUGUUUUGUGUUUUUUUUUUAGACCAAUGUUCUAAGUUGCUGAUACCCAUUUACAUCAUGUUCAUUGAUUGCCAUUUUCUCUCUCUGAUUGUAUCUAAAAGCUGCUUUUCUGUUAAAAAAAAAAACGUUCUACACAAAAGGUGCAAUUAAACAAAAAACUGGUCUACGAAUGUACCUGUCUUGCCAUUGACUGAGGUAAUUACAAUAUUACAGAAUGGAUUUUUUGGUGUUUUGUUUACAGAUUUAGUCAACCUUUGUAUAGUGUGUACUACCUCUAGACUUGCUUUUUGUUCAGCCAAGCAUCUGUUGUACUGAUAGGCAUUGCUCUAAAUCUGCUUUAUGAAUUGAUGCUUCACAUAUUUACAUUGUGCUGAGUUCUUGGAACACGGUCCCCAUUCCUACAGCAUUGUUAUCAUAAGGCUAUGAACCUCAACACGACUUGGCACUGUUGGUAGGGCCCAAGGGGCGAAGUAGUCAACACUGCUAUAAACAUAUUAGGUCUUUUAUCUUAUUUGUUACUUGUUGUUGCAAAGAGAAAACAUAUUUUAUGGAUACUUUUUCACUACUCUGUUAUUUAAAUUGUAAAUAAAAUCACAAA
rnacentral:misc_RNA from 1 species